UUGAAACAGUGUUUCUCGUCCGAUCACUGAAGUUAAACAACGUCGAGCUAGGUCAGUACCGAGAUGGGUGACCACUUGGAAAUACCAGGUGCUAUAU